CCUACGGGAGGCAGCAGUGGGGAAUUUUGGACAAUGGGCGAAAGCCUGAUCCAGCCAUGCCGUGUGCAGGAAGAAGGCCUUCGGGUUGUAAACUGCUUUAGUCUAGGAAAAAGGGGUGCGAGGUUAAUACCCUCGUGCUUUGAUGGUACUGGAAGAAUAAGCACCGGCUAACUACGUGCCAGCAGCCGCGGUAAUACGUAGGGUGCGAGCGUUAAUCGGAAUUACUGGGGCGUAAAGCGUGCGCAGGCGGUCUUGUAAGACAGUCGUGAAAUCCCUGGGCUUAACCUAGGAACUGCGAUUGUGACUGCAAGGCUAGAGUGUGUCAGAGGGGGGUGGAAUUCCACGUGUAGCAGUGAAAUGCGUAGAGAUGUGGAGGAACCCGAUGGCGAAGGCAGCCCCCUGGGAUAACACUGACGCUCAUGCACGAAAGCGUGGGGAGCAAACAGGAUUAGAUACCCUGGUAGUCCACGCCCUAAACGAUGUCAACUGGUUGUUGGGUGGGUAACCACUUUAGUAACGAAGCUAACGCGUGAAGUUGACCGCCUGGGGAGUACGGUCGCAAGAUUAAAACUCAAAGGAAUUGACGG
rnacentral:rRNA from 1 species